GGGGGAAGUGUGGACAAUGGGGGAAACCCUGAUCCAGCCAUCCCGCGUGUGCGAUGAAGGCCUUCGGGUUGUAAAGCACUUUUGGCAGGAAAGAAACGUCAUGGGUUAAUACCCCGUGAAACUGACGGUACCUGCAGAAUAAGCACCGGCUAACUACGUGCCAGCAGCCGCGGUAAUACGUAGGGUGCAAGCGUUAAUCGGAAUUACUGGGCGUAAAGCGUGCGCAGGCGGUUCGGAAAGAAAGAUGUGAAAUCCCAGAGCUCAACUUUGGAACUGCAUUUUUAACUACCGGGCUAGAGUGUGUCAGAGGGAGGUGGAAUUCCGCGUGUAGCAGUGAAAUGCGUAGAUAUGCGGAGGAACACCGAUGGCGAAGGCAGCCUCCUGGGAUAACACUGACGCUCAUGCACGAAAGCGUGGGGAGCAAACAGG
rnacentral:rRNA from 1 species